AUUGCUUUGGCAGAAUAGUGUGAUAGAUUUAGAAUCUUUUAAUGUAAUUUUAUAAUUACAGGUAAUA
rnacentral:tRNA from 1 species